UGCUCGUCUGCCCCAUCGUUGCCUCGCACCGCCGUCCCCAACUCCGACCAACAACGUCUUCCACCAGCCAAACUGCGGCUUCCACCAUUUGUCUACGCCCUCCGAUCUGCAGUGUUCUGAUCCAAAAGAUGACUAUAUGCUGUUAUCCCCAAAGGCUAUUUCGGUUGGCGCAUAACACUACUUCAUUAAAAUAAUAACUACUUUGUGCGGACUCUACAUAUUUCUUGGCACCCUUACAGUGACACACUUGGGAAUCUUGUCUUCUGAUUAUGUUUUUAGGUAAAUGCUUCGAAAUAUGGACACAUGGUUCUCUAAGUUGAUUCAACACUAAAGAAUUUGAACAUGAGGUUG